AUUGAACGCUGGCGGCAGGCCUAACACAUGCAAGUCGAGCGGCAGCGACUUAACUGAACCUUCGGGGAACGUUAAGGGCGGCGAGCGGCGGACGGGUGAGUAAUGCCUGGGAAUAUGCCCUGAUGUGGGGGAUAACUAUUGGAAACGAUAGCUAAUACCGCAUAAUCUCUUCGGGGCAAAGAGGGGGACCUUCGGGCCUCUCGCGUCAGGAUUAGCCCAGGUGGGAUUAGCUUGUUGGUGAGGUAAUGGCUCACCAAGGCAACGAUCCCUAGCUGGUCUGAGAGGAUGAUCAGCCACACUGGAACUGAGACACGGUCCAGACUCCUACGGGAGGCAGCAGUGGGGAAUAUUGCACAAUGGGGGAAACCCUGAUGCAGCCAUGCCGCGUGUGUGAAGAAGGCCUUCGGGUUGUAAAGCACUUUCAGUAGGGAGGAAGGUAGUGUAGUUAACACCUGCACUAUUUGACGUUACCUACAGAAGAAGCACCGGCUAACUCCGUGCCAGCAGCCGCGGUAAUACGGAGGGUGCGAGCGUUAAUCGGAAUUACUGGGCGUAAAGCGCAUGCAGGCGGCCUGUUAAGUCAGAUGUGAAAGCCCGGGGCUUAACCUCGGAAUUGCAUUUGAAACUGGCAGGCUAGAGUCUUGUAGAGGGGGGUAGAAUUUCAGGUGUAGCGGUGAAAUGCGUAGAGAUCUGAAGGAAUACCAGUGGCGAAGCGGCCCCCUGGACAAAGACUGACGCUCAGAUGCGAAAGCGUGGGGAGCAAACAGG
rnacentral:rRNA from 1 species